ACAGGUAAGGCAAUUGUUACGAUUGCAGGAGCUGGUGGAACUGUGAUUCUGACUCCUGCCAUUCUGACUACACUGGGGUUCACUUCAGCUGGAAUAGCAGCAGGCUCCAUUGCUGCCAAACUGAUGUCAAUGCUUGCAAUCGCUAGUGGAGGUGGAGUUGCAGCAGGAGGUCUCGUAGCAAUCUUGCAGUCAUGGGGUGCAGCAGGUCUGUCAUGGGUUGCCACUGCAUUGUUUGGCAGUGUUGGUGGAGCAGCGGGUUGGAUAAUCUCAGCUGUGUGUAACCUCAACGUGACUGUGAAAUAUGAAAAUUAACAAACCGAAUAAACACAAA